AUAAGACAUGCAAGUCGGAUCCCAUUUUCCGUUGUAGACAAUACGAUGGAAAGUCUAGUGGCGAACGGGUGCUUAACACGUGGGCAACCUGCCAGGAAGUGGGGGAUAGCUCGCCGAAAGGCGAAUUAAUACCGCAUGUGAUUAGAGAGGACAUCCUUUCGAAAUUAAAGUCGGGGCAACCUGACGCUUCUUGUGGGGCCCGCGGCCUAUCAGCUAGUUGGUGGGGUAACGGCUCACCAAGGCUUUGACGGGUAGCUGGUCUGAGAGGACGACCAGCCACACUGGGACUGAGACACGGCCCAGACACCUACGGGUGGCAGCAGUCGAGAAUUUUUGACAAUGGGGGAAACCCUGAUCGAGCGACGCCGCGUGGAGGAUGAAGGUCUUCGGAUUGUAAACUCCUGUCAUUGGGGAACAAGGUGCAUACGUUAACUGCGUGUGCAUUGAUAGUACCCGAAGAGGAAGAGACGGCUAACUCUGUGCCAGCAGCCGCGGUAAUACAGAGGUCUCAAGCGUUGUUCGGAUUCAUUGGGCGUAAAGGGUGCGUAGGCGGCGCGGUAAGUCGGGUGUGAAAUCUCGGAGCUUAACUCCGAAACUGCAUUCGAUACUGCCGUGCUUGAGGACUGGAGAGGAGACUGGAAUUUACGGUGUAGCGGUGAAAUGCGUAGAUAUCGUAAGGAAGACCAGUGGCGAAGGCGGGUCUCUGGACAGUUCCUGACGCUGAGGCACGAAGGUCAGGGGAGCAAACGGGAUUAGAUACCCCGGUAGUCCUGACAGUAAACGGUGCACGUUUGGUGUGGGAGGAUUCGACCC
rnacentral:rRNA from 1 species